AAACAAGCUUUUUUAAAAGCUAUCAAUUAUAGUAACACAUAAAUA
rfam:Pongo abelii chromosome 9.